rnacentral:rRNA from 1 species
UACGAAGGGGGCUAGCGUUGUUCGGAAUUACUGGGCGUAAAGGGCGCGUAGGCGGUACUUCAAGUCAGGCGUGAAAGCCCCGGGCUCAACUUGGGAACCGCGCUUGAGACUGGAGAACUAGAGUUCGGGAGAGGAUGGUGGAAUUCCCAGUGUAGAGGUGAAAUUCGUAGAUAUUGGGAAGAACACCGAUGGCGAAGGCAGCCAUCUGGACCGACACUGACGCUGAGGCGCGAAAGCGUGGGGAGCAAACAGG